AGGGGAGGGGGUGCUAAUACAUGCAAGUCGAGCGGACAGAUGGGAGCUUGCUCCCUGAUGUUAGCGGCGGACGGGUGAGUAACACGUGGGUAACCUGCCUGUAAGACUGGGAUAACUCCGGGAAACCGGGGCUAAUACCGGAUGGUUGUCUGAACCGCAUGGUUCAGACAUAAAAGGUGGCUUCGGCUACCACUUACAGAUGGACCCGCGGCGCAUUAGCUAGUUGGUGAGGUAACGGCUCACCAAGGCGACGAUGCGUAGCCGACCUGAGAGGGUGAUCGGCCACACUGGGACUGAGACACGGCCCAGACUCCUACGGGAGGCAGCAGUAGGGAAUCUUCCGCAAUGGACGAAAGUCUGACGGAGCAACGCCGCGUGAGUGAUGAAGGUUUUCGGAUCGUAAAGCUCUGUUGUUAGGGAAGAACAAGUGCCGUUCAAAUAGGGCGGCACCUUGACGGUACCUAACCAGAAAGCCACGGCUAACUACGUGCCAGCAGCCGCGGUAAUACGUAGGUGGCAAGCGUUGUCCGGAAUUAUUGGGCGUAAAGGGCUCGCAGGCGGUUUCUUAAGUCUGAUGUGAAAGCCCCCGGCUCAACCGGGGAGGGUCAUUGGAAACUGGGGAACUUGAGUGCAGAAGAGGAGAGUGGAAUUCCACGUGUAGCGGUGAAAUGCGUAGAGAUGUGGAGGAACACCAGUGGCGAAGGCGACUCUCUGGUCUGUAACUGACGCUGAGGAGCGAAAGCGUGGGGAGCGAACAGGAUUAGAUACCCUGGUAGUCCACGCCGUAAACGAUGAGUGCUAAGUGUUAGGGGGUUUCCGCCCCUUAGUGCUGCAGCUAACGCAUUAGCACUCCGCCUGGGGAGUACGGUCGCAAGACUGAAACUCAAGGAAUUGACGGGGGCCCGCCACAAGCGUUGUGCAUGUGGUUUAUUCGAAGCACGCGAAGAACCUUACUAGUCGUGACAUCCUUCUGACAAUCCUACAAGAUAGUACGGUCCCCUUCGGGGGCAAGGUGACCCGGUGUUGCAUGACUGGUCGUCAGUCUCUGGUCAUGAACAUGUUGGGUUCAGUCUCCAGACAACGAUCCGCAAAC
rnacentral:rRNA from 1 species